rnacentral:rRNA from 1 species
UAGAUACCCUAUUAUUUAAAAUAAAAUAAGUUAUUUAAAGUAGUAAUAGUUAAGAUCUUGAAACUUAAAAAAUUUGGCGGUAUUUUAGUCUAUUCAGAGGAGCCUGUUUUAUAAUCGAUAAUCCACGAUGAACCUUACUUAAAUUAGUUGACAGUUUAUAUACCGUUGUUAUAGAAUAUUUUAUAAGAACAAUAAUUUUCAAUAUAUUUUAUUAAAUUAUAUAUCAGAUCAAGGUGUAGCUAAUAUUUGAGAAAAAAUGGGCUACAAUAAUUUUAGUUAUAUGGAUAUAAAAAUGAAACCUUUAUUGAAAGUGGAUUUGAUAGUAAAUUUAUAGAGAUUAAUAUAUUGAUUAUAGCUCUAAAAUAUGUACACAUCGCCCGUCGCUCU